UACGGAGGGGGCUAGCGUUGUUCGGAAUUACUGGGCGUAAAGCGCGCGUAGGCGGACCUGCAAGUCGGGGGUGAAAGCCCGAGGCUCAACCUCGGAACUGCCUUCGAUACUGCGGGGCUCGAGUCCGGGAAAGGUGAGUGGAAUUCCUAGUGUAGAGGUGAAAUUCGUAGAUAUUAGGAAGAACACCAGUGGCGAAGGCGGCUCACUGGCCCGGUACUGACGCUGAGGCGCGAAAGCGUGGGGAGCAAACAGG
rnacentral:rRNA from 1 species